rnacentral:misc_RNA from 1 species
AUUUGUCAAUAUUUCAGGCACAGCUGAUCAAGUAUACCUGCUUGUUGAUCCUGUCAAGUCUUCAUCAGAUGAUAGGCCUGAUUCCUAUGAACACUAAUAAUCUUAGUUCUGAGACUACCAUGCUUCUCCCUGGUGCCGCAGGCAUCAAGAAGUAUGGCAAAAGACAAGUCUCUGAGAACUACAUAAUUCAAAAUUUUGGCCCUAGACUCUUGCACAAGCAAUCCUUGCACUUAUCAUGGGUCAGGAGAGAUGGAUCACUGCGCGGGCUUGUAUGCAAAAGCACAAAAUAUCUCAGAAAUCUGGAGAGGAAUAGAAGUCUAAAAGUGAGUGGAUUUACAGAAGAGCAGGAAGCUCUGGUCGUCAAAUCAUGGAAUUCAAUGAAGAAGAAUAGUGGAGAAUUGGGUCUAAAAUUCUUCAUUAAAAUCUUUGAGAUCGCACCCUCUGCAAAGAAGCUGUUCUCAUUUUUGAACGACUCAGAUGUUCCUCUGGAGCAGAAUCCAAAGCUUAAACCUCAUGCCGUUACCGUCUUUGUUAUGACCUGCGAAUCAGCUGUGCAGCUUCGGAAGGCAGGCAAGGUCACUUUGAAAGAGUCCAGUCUGAAAGAUUUAGGAGCAACUCAUUUCAAAUAUGGGGUUGUUGAUGAACAUUUUGAGGUCACUAAGUAUGCAUUGCUUGAAACUAUAAAAGAAGCAGUGCCAGAAAUGUGGUCUCCUGAGAUGAAGAAUGCGUGGGCAGAAGCUUAUGAUCAGUUGGCUGCUGCUAUAAAAAUUGAAAUGAAGCCUCCUUCAUGAACUCCUUGAGCACUAGAGAGGGAGAGACAAGAUGUCUGAUAAUCACUUUUAAAAAGUUGAAAAUGUUUCUUUUUUUCAAAAUAAGGAAAUUUUUUAUGAUCAUGAUCAUAUUUUUGAUCUUUUGUUGUUC